UGGAUAAUUUUCAAGUUCAACCAUAAAAUUAAAUUAUUUACACUAUUCGUUCUUGGAAUGCCUCAAGAAAUGUAUUUAACAUUCUGUAAUUAACUUGAAGUUUUCAUUAGUCAAAGAACAUUUAAACAAUAUAACAAGAUCCAGAGACCUUCUUUGAGAAACCAUAAAAAGUUUGCUGUAAUACAUAAAUCCUUUUCGUACAACACCAACGAUAUUCCGAUAUGUAUUACAGCAAACUUUAAAUGGUUUCUCAAAAUAAAAACAAUAUUUUGGGAUGCCCACAAAUAUUGGAAAUACGACAUGGCUUAAAACUGGUGAAUGGCAGGAUUAAACUAAGUCCCUUGCAUAUAAAAUCCGCGUAGUAAAAGUCUCCUUUGACUUGGGAUAGUAGAUAAUACCGGUUAUAGUGGCUGAAAACUCAAGGUUGUGCUCUAAAUAGAUAAUAUUUUUGCCCGUUGCAUGUUAUCGUUAAGAUAAUCCAUAAUAUGUAGCAAAUGUAAUGCAUUGUUGAGGACGUGAACUUGUUAACUAAUUACUUAUUAUGAAAUAAAGAAUAAUGAACACAA